rnacentral:rRNA from 1 species
CAGCACCUCAAGUGGUCAGGAUGAUUAUUGGGCCUAAAGCAUCCGUAGCCGGCGCUGUAAGUUUUCGGUUAAAUCUGUACGCUCAACGUACAGGCUGCCGGGAAUACUGCAGCGCUAGGUAGUGGGAGAGGUAGACGGUACUCGGUAGGAAGGGGUAAAAUCCUUUGAUCUAUUGAUGACCACCUGUGGCGAAGGCGGUCUACCAGAACACGUCCGACGGUGAGGGAUGAAAGCUGGGGGAGCAAACCGGAUUAGAUACCCGAGUAGUCC